rnacentral:SRP_RNA from 1 species
UCGUGCUAGGCGGGGAGCCAGCGGUGCCCUGUACCCGCAAGCCGCUAUAGCGGGGCUGAAUUCCUGCUCGAGGUUGGUGUACCUGGGAACUGGCUGCGCCGAGCAGCGUUGAGGGCCUGGUCCUACGCGGCGGAGCGCUACGAACCCCGUCAGGUCCGGAAGGAAGCAGCGGUAAGUAGUUUGUUCCGGGUGCCGUAGGGUUACCGGGCCGGAGCUAGCUAGCGCCGUUAAGCCGAAGGGCCUGAUCGACAGUGGGUGCACGA